rnacentral:tRNA from 1 species
GAAAAUGUGCCUGAAUAAAGGGUAACUUUGAUAGAGUUAAUUAUAGAGGCUUAAAUCCUCUCAUUUUCU